rnacentral:rRNA from 1 species
UACUCCUACGGGAGGCAGCAGUGGGGAAUCUUCCGCAAUGGACGAAAGUCUGACGGAGCAACGCCGCGUGUUGAUGAAGGUCUUCGGAUGUAAAGUACUGUCUUUGGGGAAGAACGGUCGAUUUGAGAAUAUUGAGUCGACGACGGUACCCAAGGAGGAAGCCCCG